GUUCACCCAAAUAAAAUUGAACGUAGACAUUCGAUAAAAUUGGAACGAUACAGAGAAGAUUAACAUGACUCCUGCGCAAGGAUGACAUGCACAAAUCGAGAAGUGGUCUAAAUUUUA
rnacentral:snRNA from 1 species